rnacentral:rRNA from 1 species
CUCGUAGGCGGUCUUAAAAGUCAGGUGUGAAAUCAUCAGGCUCAACCUGAUAAGGUCAUCUGAAACUUUAAGACUUGAGGAUAGAAGAGGAAAGUGGAAUUCCCGGUGUAGCGGUGAAAUGCGUAGAUAUCGGGAGGAAUACCAGUGGCGAAGGCGGCUUUCUGGUCUAUUUCUGACGCUGAGGAGCGAAAGCUAGGGGAGCAAACAGGAUUAGAUACCCUGGUAGUCC